AAAAGCUAAGAUAAAGAAAAUGAAGACCCUGUUAGUCCUCAUCUUCAAGUAAACAACCUUGAGUUUGUUCACAAUCACAGAACUCAACCACUUUUAGCAAUUUUAUUUCUAUUUUAUGCAGGGCCAGGCUUGGACUGUUAUGAAUGUUGCUGAACACUGUUAAUCAAGCUUACACAGCUAUUUUGAUGGCAAACAAUUAGAACUCUGCAGCUCUACCUUGCAAUUAGCUUCAGGGAUACAGACCUCAGCACCAUAAUAAUGAAAGAGACCCCUUUCAAGUACGUUUUCUCUACAGAAUCUUCCGGCAUUUUGAAAUCUAUUUCCUGGCAAGUUCAUGGUUUACCUCUCUAUUUUUACCACCCCCUGUGUGCAUUGGCUUUAACAGUUCUCACUAGGCAGCCCUAACUGACUUGGAAAAUCUUAUGUAAAUCAAACUAGCCUCAACCAUAUUGAUCUAUCUUUUCAUCCACCCAAGUAUUGGGAUUAAAGACUUGUACAACCAUGCCUGCUCUAAAUAUUCAUACUUAUCAUUUAUUUUUAAA